CCGCCAUUACAUGACUGAAAUACUGUUGAAAAACGGUGUUAAACCCAAAACAAAACAAACAAAUAAUUCCGGUUGUAGAAGGUGUUUUUUUAUUGGUUAUGUCAAAAUUCCUCUUUCUUGCUGUUCCCCCAGAAUGUGAAGCCUAGGAUAAGUAUUAGCUCACCUGUCACAUCAUCACAUCAUCACCUCAACGCAACGGUCAUAUCUUAUUAUAAAUUUAUAGUAUGAUACAACUUUGUUGCGUUGAGGUGACGACAUAAUGACAAGGUGAGCUUUUGUGAUCACCAUUCGUCCGUGUCCCUUGGAUAGGGAACUCUGCAUUUGCAGAGCCAUUCUUAGGUGUCCUUUUCUCUUUCAGCUAGAUAGGGAACUAAAUUGUGUAGAUAAGGGAAGAUCUCUCAAGUAUAAGGUUAUGUAAGUAUGCAGGCGGAUAAUGCGUCUCCUUUGGAAAGGCAUUUGAAGCCUGCUAAAAAAUAAUGUAACUGGUCUUUAGAAUCAAAUGGGUGGUGUCAAGAGCAGUAAGUAAUUGCAAAUUGUGAAAGAGGAUUAGGACAUUACAUUGGACAGGCUCACAUUUUGGCGGACAGUGAAAAUUGUUUAAGCUAAAUCUCUUAAGCUACUGGGUGUUUGGGUGCCUGGUAGAGAACCUACCACUUGCGCUGGGAUCAAACCUGUGAGCGUAGCCCGACAGAGAAACUACCACUUGUGCUGGGGUCGAACUUGUGACCGUAGCCUGGCAGAUUUUUUUGUUUUGGGUUUAACGCCGUUUUUCAACAGUAUUCCAGUCAUGUAACCGCAGGCUGUUAACCUAACUUGUGUUCCUGGAUUCUGUGCCAGUACAAACCUGUUCUCUGUAAGUAACUGCCAACUUCCCCACAUGAAUCAGGGGUGGAGGACUAAUGAUUUCAGACACAGUCAUUUAUCAAAUAGUGACGGAGAACAUACGCCCCGCCCAAGGAUCGAACUCGCGACCCUGAGAUCCGUAGACCAACACUUACCUACUGAGCUAAGCGGGCGAGCUGUAGCCUGGCAGAGAACCUACCACUUGUGCUGGGAUUGAACCUGUUACUUUAGCCCGGCAGAGAACUUACUACUUGUGCUGGGAUUAAAGCUACCACUUGUGCUGGGAUCAAACGUGUGACUGUAGCCAGGCAGAGAGCCUACCACUUGGGCUGGGAUCGAACCUGUGACCGUAGCCCGGCACAUAGCCUACCACAAGGGCUGGGAUCGAACCUACCACUGUCACUGGGAUCGAACCUUUGACCGUAGCCUGGCAGAGAGCCUACCACUUGGGCUAGGAUCGAACCUACCACUUGCGCUGGGAUCGAACCUGUGACUGUUUGAUCUUGCUGUCCUUCAAAGUGUGAAACUAAAGGUACCAGAAAGUAUUGUUUUUAGUUUGGAUUGGAACUCUGCAUUGACAGAGCCAUUCUUAGAUAGGUGCCCCUGGAUAGGGAACUCUGCAUUGCCAGAGCCAUUCUUAGAUGCCCCUUUCUCUUUCAGGUAGAUAGGGAAUUAAACUGUAGUCUAGAGAGUGGUUUGUGAGUGAGUUACCAGUAUGAUAGAAGCUUGGCCAAGCUAAUAUUUUGGUGUUUGAAUUUUAUAUUACAGGCAUCUGGUGAUUACAGGGAAGCAGAGAACCAACUAGUCGUGUUACUGUUUGGAUUCUGGCUCAGAUUGGUUAAUUUUUGAAUUUUAUAUUACAGGCAUCUGGUGAUUACAGGGAAUCAGAGAACCAACUAGUCAUGUUACUGUGUUUGGAUUCUGGCUCAGAUUGGUUAAUGUUCAGGCAUCUGGUGAUUACAGAGAACCAGCUAGUCAUGUUACUGUGUUUUGGAUUCUGACUCAGAUUGGUUAAUGUUUGAAUUUUAUAUUACAGGCAUCUGGUGAUUACAGAGAACCAGCUAGUAAUGCUACUGUGUUUUGGAUUCUGACUCUGAUUGGUUAAUGUUUGGAUUUGAUAUUACAGGCAUCUGGUGAUUACAGGAAAGCAGAGAACCAACUAGUCAUGCUGCUGGGUGUGGAUGCCUUUGUUUUCAUUGAAGUCCUCGGACAGUACAGAGGAAUUAUCCUUUGCUGUUCAUGACUGGCUCAGGCACAGAAUGAGAAAGAGAAGAUUGAGAAUAAACCACAACUGUUGAAGAUUCUACAAGCCCUUCAGGCUAUAGAUAAAGAGGGAGAGGUCAAGGAGAGAUCAUGCAAGGAAAAGUCAAGUCGCGGCAGACAUAAAGGCCAUGGAUACAGAUGACACAUAGGAGCUAGCUUUGGUUUGUAAGUAAAUUUGACCUUGAGGACCUGUCCUUCACACAUGGCAGUAACUUGAUGGCAAACAAGGAGUAUCAAUUGUGGGACGGUUUAUUCAGGAAACAGAGGAAAGGAUAUGAAUGUUGAGACGUCUUGGAAGAACUCGGUGAGGGUAUAAUGUUGACCAAUCACAGUGAGUUAAAGUACUAUCCAUCAUUGAUGAAUCAGUUGGAGAGGCAGUUUAUUUGCAAAAUGGCUGACAAUUUGAAUGCAGAAGUUGUUCUUGGAACAGUGCAUUCUAGUCAAAGAAGCAGUAGAUUGGUUAGGGCGCAAGUAGAAAUUGACAAGGCAGCGAAGCAUUCUUGUGUAGAUGACAACAAUGACUGCAUCUCUAAAAAAUGAGGAAAAAAGGUCAACCCAGUCAUCAUCAACACUCUGUCAACAGAAGUGCUGUCAGAACAUGGAAAAAACAGUUUCCAUGCCAAACUAGAACUGGAAUGUCAUGUGCAGGCGACACGGCUUGGCACAAAAGAGGAUUUGACAGUUUAACAUUUCAAGGCGGACAUUUUCCUCAUAUCACACUGAUAGCUGCUGCAGAGCUGAACAGUAGACAUUCCUUCAAUACAUACGUUUUACCUAAAACACUGAUCACCGCAACAGCCCAACAAGUUACUGGAAUUGUAAUGUCAGGUAGUAACUCUGUCAGUAAAUGGAAUGCCAGUGGAAGCAAAAUUUAUAACUCCAUCACUGGAAAAUGUUUUGUAAAAGGCUAGAACAAUUUGACAAUGUCAUUCUGGUGGCCCGCAAUGGCAGAAGAUUUGACUUUCCAGUUCUGAUGAAAGCAGUAGCUUGUUGUAAAAUUCGUGAGAGUUUUUUUAAAUGUGCGUCUGGAUUUCUUGAUUCUCUAACAGAUUUACGUAAACUUCUUCCUGGCACUUUCUCGUACAAACAAGAUCUUGUACAGAAACUUUUGAGUGGAAGUUAUGGAGAGUGAAAGCUAUGGAACACAUAAUGCCAAGAAGGAUGUUAAAGCAUUAGAAAAUCUUUGAAAAUAUGUGUCAAUAUCACCUAAAACAAUGCUUUUAUUUAAUUAUUCUCCAAAAUCUACAUCAAAUAUUCAGGCCUCAACCGAAAUCAUUUUGAAAGUAAUUGUCAAGCACAAGGGAGAAGAUGGGCUGAGGAACAGUACAUUGUUGAUAUAGUGAAGGACAACCAUGUGUUACAAACACAAAGAGGGCAUUAGAGACAGUUAUUCCAAACCUUGUGGAGUAUUUAAAAAUAAUUUUAUCAUACCUCAUUGCUUAUGCCCCAUAUUUUAAUUUUGAAAGAGUAAGAAUGUUCAAAAAUGAUGUGUCUUGAUCUGUAUGUCAAGUUUUAUGCUUUGAUUUGGUUAUCUUUUUUGAACUAUUAGAACAUAUUAUUAUAUGUAUAUCAACAUUUUACUUUAUUAAAAGGAUUAUUACUACUAUAUUUAUUUUUAUGUACAAGUGUAACAUGCAUUUUUCAUUAACAGAAGUAAAAAAAAAAAUGGGAGUUCUUUGUUUUAAAAUCUUGUGAAUUUAGGUUUACAGUAUAAAGCUUUUGUUUAUAUUUUUGCCCCUACUCUAAAAGAAGGUAUAUUUUACCCCUACUCUAAAAGAAGGUAUUUUUAGAAAAUCAGAUGGUAAAAGUAGAUUUUCUUUAUGUAUUUGUUUCAUACAAUGAUACAAAUAAUUUGUAUGUAGUCAUCACACAUAUAACACUUAUAACUUAAAAAAAAAAAAAUGUCGAGACCAGAAUUUUUUCCUGAAAAUUGCCAACUUUACGACUGAGGGUAUAAAAGAAAAGUAUUUCAAAUAAAUUCUUGUACAAAUGUAUGUCAUAAAUUUUUAUAUAUAUUUAUUCAGCAUUGUUUUAGUAACUUACACUGAAACUGUUGUAUUUUGAUAAAGUUGGAAAAAAAUAUGUAGAAUUUCACGUAGUUUAUUUCAUUUUUAAGUCAAAUUUGCAGAUAAGGAGUUAUGAUUUUAUAAUAUUUUUUUUUAAUGGUUAAAAUCAUUUAAAAUCUUAGAAAUAAUUCACCCAGGUGAUACAGAUAAUAAAAAUAAAAAGCUUGGUUAGAUUUGAAAUGUAACCAUUCAGGGCCCUAAAUCAUUCAUUAACUCAUUUAAAAAAUGUGUCUGUACACGAUGCUUCGUGGAACCUAUGUCACUGUUCCGUACAGUGUACUCCAACCUGCCUUUCCAUGUUUCUAGUUACUUGUGAACAAGUGGCAAAAUGAAAGUAAACUGUCCAGUCAGUUGUCUGAAAUGUGCAAAUGUUUGGUCCAAAUAAGGUAAACUGGUGUUCUUUAGUAAAAAAAACUUAUGUACUCUUGGUUUUUAUGUUGUAUGGUUACAACAAAGUGUUGGUGAUAUUGGUAUGUUUCUAUCUGUAGUUAAACAAAGGUUACACGAUCAGUUCAGUCAAAAUUGGCACAAGAGAUUAGAAAACUCGAGUAGAGCAUUAUUUUACAGAAAUAUUUCAAAUUUUAGGUUCCAGCCAUACUUAGAAUAUAUUGCAAACAAUAGAUUUUGUCAGUCAUUAGUGAGAUUAAGAGUUUCUUCUCAUAGAUUACAAAUAGAAGCAGGGCGUUGGUCAAGACCAGCAGCUACACCAUUAAAUGAAAGAUUAU